GUUGCCACUAUUUUUAUUAUUUGAUAAAACGGUUCAUUACGAUUAUAUUACACCAUAAAAAAAAUAUGAAUUUUUUUCGAAGUACCUAUCCUAAUAUAUUUUAAAUUUUAAAUUAUAUUUUAUCUAUACAGCCAUAAACGCCGUCCGCCAUGAUGGUCUAUUAAUUAUCUGUGCCGUGACGUCACUAUUCUUGUAAACAAUACGCGUGAAUAACAUAACCUUUUUAUCGGAAUUUAAAACCAUGGCUUCGAAAGGAUUACAUGAUAAAUAUAGUAAUUACCACUAUUGUAUCGUGCGGGAAUGUCAGAAUACAUCAAUAAAGAACCUAGAGAAGUUGUGGAUUAAAGUACCCAGUGAUGAGAAUAUGCGGAACUCCUGGUUACAACUAGCUAAAAGAGAUCCCGUAACUCUGUCCAGUUGAACUGCAGUGUAUUUCUGUGAAGAUCACUUUAAUAAUUGCCUAAGGAGGAUGCUGUACCAUUCUUCUGUUGAGGAUAAGAUUUGUGACAAAAUAAUGCAAGCAGAACAAUGUAAUCCUCACUUCAGAGAUAAGGCAGUGCAAGCUGAGCCAGAACAUGCAUCAUGCCAAGUAGUUUCAAAUUAUGAUCACAAGGUCACUCAAGUAUCAAUAAUGAAACACUAUAGAAGUAAGAAGGU